rnacentral:rRNA from 1 species
UGACGAGUGGCGAACGGGUGAGUAAUACAUCGGAACGUGCCCAGUAAUGGGGGAUAGCUCGGCGAAAGCCGGAUUAAUACCGCAUACGAUCUACGGAUGAAAGCGGGGGACCUUCGGGCCUCGCGCUAUAGGGUUGGCCGAUGGCUGAUUAGCUAGUUGGUGGGGUAAAGGCCUACCAAGGCGACGAUCAGUAGCUGGUCUGAGAGGACGACCAGCCACACUGGGACUGAGACACGGCCCAGACUCCUACGGGAGGCAGCAGUGGGGAAUUUUGGACAAUGGGCGAAAGCCUGAUCCAGCAAUGCCGCGUGUGUGAAGAAGGCCUUCGGGUUGUAAAGCACUUUUGUCCGGAAAGAAAUCCUUGGUUCUAAUAUAGCCGGGGGAUGACGGUACCGGAAGAAUAAGCACCGGCUAACUACGUGCCAGCAGCCGCGGUAAUACGUAGGGUGCGAGCGUUAAUCGGAAUUACUGGGCGUAAAGCGUGCGCAGGCGGUUUGCUAAGACCGAUGUGAAAUCCCCGGGCUCAACCUGGGAACUGCAUUGGUGACUGGCAGGCUAGAGUAUGGCAGAGGGGGGUAGAAUUCCACGUGUAGCAGUGAAAUGCGUAGAGAUGUGGAGGAAUACCGAUGGCGAAGGCAGCCCUCUGGGCCAAUACUGACGCUCAUGCAC